CCCUCUAGAAGUUGUAAUGUGUAAAGAACAAUUAUGCUUACCUGUCUUUAUUAGGCUGUUUCGCCUUUUCCUGCUGUGAUGAAAACAGGGAGAGAUCUGCCAAAUCAGUACUGUAAAUCUCCAAGAGACCCUUCUCAAGAACAUUGCCAGCUGGGAUUGAAUAGGUGGGAUUAUGACAAUUCUGCAACAGCUCUGUUUCUGAUGAAGAAAAGUUCUCCCCCUUUGGUGACCUUUACAGUGCAGAGAGACUAGAAAAGAGGACCAAAAGAAUAUGUUCAAG
rnacentral:lncRNA from 1 species